GAUGAACGCUGGCGGCGUGCCUAAUACAUGCAAGUCGAGCGAAUGGAUUAAGAGCUUGCUCUUAUGAAGUUAGCGGCGGACGGGUGAGUAACACGUGAGUAACCUGCCCAUAAGACUGGGAUAACUCCGGGAAACCGGGGCUAAUACCGGAUAACAUUUUGAACCGCAGGGUUCGAAAUUGAAAGGCGGCUUUGCCUGUAACUUAUGGAUGGACCCGCGUCGCAUUAGCUAGUUGGUGAGGUAACGGCUCACCAAGGCAACGAUGCGUAGCCGACCUGAGAGGGUGAUCGGCCACACUGGGACUGAGACACGGCCCAGACUCCUACGGGAGGCAGCAGUAGGGAAUCUUCCGCAAUGGACGAAAGUCUGACGGAGCAACGCCGCGUGAGUGAUGAAGGCUUUCGGGUCGUAAAACUCUGUUGUUAGGGAAGAACAAGUGCUAGUUGAAUAAGCUGGCACCUUGACGGUACCUAACCAGAAAGCCACGGCUAACUACGUGCCAGCCGCCGCGGUAA
rnacentral:rRNA from 1 species